UAUUAGAGGAAACAGUUGAUUGUUGGGGCCAGGGUUAUGUGUGGGUAUUAGGGAAGCAGUGCAUUGUGAGGGCAUGGGUUAUGUGUGGGUAUUAGGGAAGCAGUGCAUUGUGGGGGCACGGGUUAUGUAUGGGUAUUAGGGAAGCAGUGCAUUGUGGGGGCACGGGUUAUGUGUGGGUAUUAGGGAAGCAGUGCAUUGUGGGGGCAUGGGUUAUGUGUGGGUAUUAGAGAAGCAGUGCAUUGUGGGGGCACAGGUUAUGUAUGGGUAUUAGGGAAGCAGUGCAUUGUGGGGGCACGGGUUAUGUGUGGGUAUUAGAGGAAACAGUUCAUUGUUGGGGCCAGGGUUAUGUGUGGGUAUUAGGGAAGCAGUGCAUUGUGGGGGCAUGGGUUAUGUGUGGGUAUUAGGUAAGCAGUGCAUUGUGGGGGCAUGGGUUAUGUGUGUGUAUUAGAGGAAACAGUUCAUUGUUGGGGCCAGGGUUAUGUGUGGGUAUUAGAGAAGCAGUGCAUUGUGGGGGCACGGGUUAUGUGUGGGUAUUAGGGAAGCAGUGCAUUGUGAGGGCACGGGUUAUGUGUGGGUAUUAGAGGAAACAGUUCAUUGUUGGGGCCAGGGUUAUGUGUGGGUAUUAGGGAAGCAUUGCAUUGUGGGGGCACGGGUUAUGUGUGGGUAUUUGAUGGAACAGUU